GCACGCGAUUAUUUGCAUAUUGAUAUGGCCGCUUCUUAUAUGGUGGGCGAUAAAUUAGAAGAUAUGCAGGCAGCGGCUGCGGCGAACGUGGGAACAAAAGUGCUGGUGCGUACGGGUAAACCUAUUACGCCUGAAGCAGAAAACGCGGCGGAUUGGGUGUUAAAUAGCCUGGCAGACCUGCCGCAAGCGAUAAAAAAGCAGCAAAAACCGGCAUAAUGAUUAAAAGAUGAGCAAUUGAAAUAAAAAUGCAUUUUUCCACUUGUCUUCCUGAGACGACUCCCUAUAAUGCGCCUCCAUCGACACGGCGGAUGUGAAUCACUUCACACAAACAGCCGGUUCGGUUGAAGAGAAAAAUCCUGAAAUUCAGGGUUGACUCUGAAAGAGGAAAGCGUAAUAUACGCCACCUCGCGACAGUGCGCUAAAGCGCGUCGCAACUGCUCUUUAACAAUUUAUCAGACAAUCUGUGUGGGCACUCGAAGAUACGGAUUCUUAACGUCGCAAGACGAAAAAUGAA
rnacentral:rRNA from 1 species